rnacentral:rRNA from 1 species
AUUGAACGCUGGCGGCAGGCUUAACACAUGCAAGUCGAGCGAGCGGCGGACGGGUGAGUAAUGUCUGGGAAACUGCCUGAUGGAGGGGGAUAACUACUGGAAACGGUAGCUAAUACCGCAUACCAUCAGAUGUGCCCAGAUGGGAUUAGCUAGUAGGUGGGGUAAUGGCUCCCCUAGGCGACGAUCCCUGGCUGGUCUGGGAGGAUGACCAGCCCGACUGGAACUGAGACGCUGUCCCGGCUCCGACGGGAGGCAGCAGUGGGGAAUAUUGCACAAUGGGCGCAAGCCUGAUGCAGCCCUGCCGCGUGUGUGAAGAAGGCCUUCGGGUUGUACAGCACUUUCAGCGGGGAGGCGUUACUCGCAGAAGAAGCGCCGGCUAACUCCGUGCCAGCAGCCGCGGUAAUAC